CUUCCCUUGACGUGCGAGUCGCCACCUAAGCUCAAGCUCCACACACACACGCUCUAUCUCUCUCUCUCUCUCUCUCACAAAGUUGGUAGCAAUGGCAAGCAAUGAAGCGCAACACAGAGAGAAGGAAGAAGAAAACGCACCGGCCGAAGACGAAGACACCGGCGCGCAAGUGGCCCCGAUAGUCAGGCUCCAAAAGGUGGCCGUUACCACCGGCGAGGAAGAAGAGGACGCCAUCCUCGAUCUAAAGGCAAAGCUGUACCGUUUCGAUAAAGGAGGGAAGCAGUGGAAGGAAAGAGGCGUAGGCAAUGUGAAGCUUCUGAAGCACAAGGACUCUGGCAAGGUCAGGCUCGUAAUGCGCCAAUCCAAGACCCUCAAGAUCUGCGCUAACCAUCUAGUUGUUCCCACAAUGAAAGUGCAAGAGCAUACUGGGAAUGAUAAAUCAUGCAUAUGGCACGCCGCCGACUUUGCAGACGGGGAAUUGAAGGAUGAGCUCUUCUGUAUUAGAUUUGCAUCAGUUGAGAACUGCAAGACCUUCAUGGCAAAGGUUGAAGAAGUUGCUGAAACAGAGGGAAAGAAAGAGGAUGCGUCGGAUACCACCAGACUCUUGGAAAAGUUGAGUGUUAGAGAUGGUAUACCCAAGGGGAAAGAGCUAGAAGAGAAUGCUGCUGCGUCCAAGGCUGUAGGUGAGCAUGCAAAACCAGAGGGGGAUAAGACAGACGAGCCAGCUUCAUAAGACCCAAAAAGAGCAGAAGUCCUGUUAUCAAGGGAAAUGGAGAGGCGGGUACUCCUGAGUCACAGGAUGCACACUUGUUCCAGAAAUAAAUGACUUGUGUAGGACAGUUUAUGUGAGUGACAUGUAGCAAUGCCUUGCGGGUGGGUCAACCCGGACUUCUAGUUGGAAGCACUUGGCCCAAUGAUGGUCCAAACUUUGCAUGAGCCUAAUCAAUCCCAGAAUGGAAAACUUGGAAGGUUUGCUGUGCGAGUAGUUGAACAAAUCAGCAACCAGGUAUCUCAACACUGGGAGCCAUUGUUGGCAUUUUAUCAUAAUAUUUAAGCACUCUCUAUAAUGUAAUUUUGAAGUGGAAGUGUUACGGAAAAUUGGAAAUUAAACAUUCUUUUUUCUC